rnacentral:lncRNA from 1 species
AGCACAUCACCUCGCCACCUCUGGGUCCACAGGGUCCCCAUGGGGAAGCGGCGCAGCCCGUCGGUGCUGUGGUGGAGGCAGCUCCUGUGCACUGGGUGCUGGUGGCUCCUGUCGCUCUCCAGGACGGCUCUCGAGGGGCUGCGGCGGCUCUGGAGGCUGGCGUGGGUCGGUACCAUGGGGCUCCUUCCCUAAGGGCUUUCCAUGCAUGUGUGGGCUCCAAACACACCGUGGGGCCAGGGCACAAGGUGGGGGCCCAUCCUGUGGGAUGAUAGCACCCGUUUGUUUUGGGGGGCUGUGGUUUUGGUGCUGCUGAGGUCACUGCCCUAUUCAGCCACAUCACUGCGGGACUCAGACCCUGGUCCCUGAGGCAGGAGGUGCCAGUUCUCAGCCCUGUAUGGUUUAUAGCCCUGGGGAUGUGGGGCCUUUGCUCCCUGCUCCAGGAUCUGCCCUGCCAGAGGUGGGUUCGAACCCACUGUCCUCUCCCUCCAGUACCUGCUGAUCUGCUACAAGAGCUGCUGGGACUUUGCCUUCCAGUUCACCGAGGAGCUCAGCUCGGUGCUGCUGCUGAGGCUGGAAAACAGCGGCGAGGGGAGCGAGGAGGAGGAGGAGGUGGACAGGGCCUCUGCUGCUGCGCUGGAGCCCAGGGAGGCAGGGCAGUGGUGGAGCUGCAGCGGCUGCGUGAGGCCAGCGAGGCCGCGCUGGGCAGGCUGGAGGCGCUGGAGGCCGACGUCCGCUUCCUCUGCACCGAGCUGGGUGCCGAGAAACUGCUGUGGAGCAGCCGGUUCCUGGAGCUGCUGCGGGAGCAGCAAGGCCUACGGCAGCGGGUGAGUGCCCCCCGGGGAGGGUCCCCUGGUCCCUGGGCACCCCCAGCCACUCGUGCCCUGUCCCAGCUGCAAGAGCGCCCACUGCAAUGGGACAGCCCCGAGCUGCCCGGAGACGUGGAGGAGCCAAACGCCAGCGGGAGCGAGGGAGAGGGCCCAGCAGGUAUGAGUGGGGACUCCGGGUCAUGGAGACAGUGCUUGGGGCAGAACAAGGCCCCCACAAUGUGGCUGCCACCCCAAGGCAUCCUCAGUGCCUGUUUGCUGCUCCUGGCCCCUGCGCUGGUGGCUGGGCACCGCUGGGAGCCUGGCUCGGUGCUCCCACAGCGCCAGCUCACCCUUGUGCUCUGUUAA